rnacentral:misc_RNA from 1 species
AAGGAACAAGAUGGCUCUUUAUGAACAACUGAGUAUCCCUUCCCAACGAUACAACCCUGGUGAUUUGCCUCAUAACAGUAGUAACAGUGCAGAUUUGGUCCUUCCUCACCCAAGCCAGGAGAAUGAACACGAAAGAGGUGUAUUAUUCUCUAGACAACUUCCUGCAUUAAGACAUCCAGUUGAGAAGCCAUAUGGAUGUAGUUCUGGUUCAAAUACUCCAUUGCGGGAAGUUAAGUCUAAAAGGCAGACAGAAAAGGAAGAUUUUAGAGUUCCCACUUUGGGUAACUCCAAGGAGCGUGCAGUAAACACAGAGGACUAUUCUAAAGGUACCUCAGAUAUAGAUAAGCGAGACAGUACUUUGAAGCGGACUGAUCAACUCUCCCAUGUCAAACCGAGAGAGAAUCUUGUUAAUACCUUUGGUGAAUCACAUAAGACCAAUAUAGUACAGUUGGAAUUCAGAUCUGAUUGUCAAGUUGAUUGCACUGUCUUUUCCGGAUCUGUCAUAGAUGUCGAUAAUGACUCCCAGGAAGACAAUACCUGUAAAUCAUCACAAACAGGAGAAAUGGCCCACAGUGAUGAACUAUCAGAGACUUCCAUGGUCG